rnacentral:rRNA from 1 species
ACAACGGGUUGAUAUUCCCGUACCGGCAAAGAACCGCCCAUAUUCCGCGUAGUUUCGUUCAGCAUUUUGCUGUGCUUACGGUACCCCUUUUACGGUGUGCGGGAUAAGUGUUCAGGUGUGACGCAGGAAGGUAGCCAAGCCGGGCGAUGGUUGACCCGGUGUAAGUGUGUAACCCGGAGGGUAGGCAAAUCCGCCCUCCAUCUAAAGGGCCAGGCACGACGCGUAGCGCUUCGGCGCGAAAUUGGUGAUCCUAUGCUGACUAGAAAAGCAUCGACACAAGGUUCUAGCUGCCCG